GAUCUGUCUCCCCUCAGCCUUCUCUUUAUGAGCACCUUAGGCCUAGGAUCACUGGAUUCCACCAGAUUCCAACAUAAGUUGCUCUCUGAGUUGUUUUCUCCAGCGUGAACAUGGCAGCAGACACAGUAGAAGAAGAGUGCCUAGAGGCUGCAGAGGUGAGCCCGUGUGACCUGCCCGGUGGGCCAGAGACCCUGGCAGCAGAUCAGAUUAAGGACAGAGGAGAGGAGGCAAAUGCAGGCAAGAAGAAGUAGGAGGCCAAGAAGGAAUAUCCUGACCGCACCCCAGUUCCCUGUCUUGCUGAGUCUGAGACCUGGCCACAAUUCUGCUCUUGAGGUCCACGAGACAGACAACCCCAGGCCCUUAUAAUAAAGUCUCCAUCUUUUCUAGCCCUUCAAA